UACGGGGGGGGCAAGCGUUGUUCGGAAUUACUGGGCGUAAAGGGCGCGUAGGCGGCCUACUAAGUCGGACGUGAAAUCCCUCGGCUCAACCGGGGAACUGCGUCCGAUACUGGUGGGCUUGAAUCCGGGAGAGGGAUGUGGAAUUCCAGGUGUAGCGGUGAAAUGCGCAGAUAUCAGGAGGAACACCAAUUGCGAAGGCAGCUCGCUGGGACGUUACUGACGCUGGAGAACGCGAAAGCGUGGGGAGCAAACAGG
rnacentral:rRNA from 1 species